UACGAAGGGGGCUAGCGUUGUUCGGAAUCACUGGGCGUAAAGCGCACGUAGGCGGAUGUGCCAGUCAGGGGUGAAAUCCCGGAGCUCAACUUCGGAACUGCCUCUGAUACAGCACGUCUUGAGUCCGGAAGAGGUGGGUGGAAUUCUUGGUGUAGCGGUGAAAUGCGUAGAUAUCAAGAGGAACACCUGCGGCGAAGGCGGGUUGCUGGGCCGACACUGACGCUGAGGCGCGAAAGCUAGGGGAGCGAACGGG
rnacentral:rRNA from 1 species